UUGUAUCUGGGCAAACAUCCUUUGAGCCUA
rnacentral:piRNA from 1 species